UACGUAGGGCGCAAGCGUUAUCCGGAAUUAUUGGGCGUAAAGAGCUCGUAGGCGGUGUGUCACGUCGGCCGUGAAAACCUGCAGCUUAACUGUGGGCGUGCGGUCGAUACGGGUAUCACUGGAGUUCGGCAGGGGAGACUGGAAUUCCUGGUGUAGCGGUGAAAUGCGCAGAUAUCAGGAGGAACACCGGUGGCGAAGGCGGGUCUCUGGGCCGAUACUGACGCUGAGGAGCGAAAGCGUGGGGAGCGAACAGG
rnacentral:rRNA from 1 species